UACGUAGGUCCCAAGCGUUGUCCGGAUUUAUUGGGCGUAAAGCGAGCGCAGGUGGUUUAUUAAGUCUGGUGUAAAAGGCAGUGGCUCAACCAUUGUAUGCAUUGGAAACUGGUAGACUUGAGUGCAGGAGAGGAGAGUGGAAUUCCAUGUGUAGCGGUGAAAUGCGUAGAUAUAUGGAGGAACACCGGUGGCGAAAGCGGCUCUCUGGCCUGUAACUGACACUGAGGCUCGAAAGCGUGGAGAGCAAACAGG
rnacentral:rRNA from 1 species